rnacentral:rRNA from 1 species
UACGUAGGUGGCGAGCGUUGUCCGGAUUUACUGGGCGUAAAGGGAGCGUAGGCGGACUUUUAAGUGAGAUGUGAAAUACUCGGGCUCAACUUGAGUGCUGCAUUUCAAACUGGAAGUCUAGAGUGCAGGAGAGGAGAAUGGAAUUCCUAUUGUAGCGGUGAAAUGCGUAGAGAUUAGGAAGAACACCAGUGGCGAAGGCGAUUCUCUGGACUGUAACUGACGCUGAGGCUCGAAAGCGUGGGGAGCAAACAGG